UGGGGGAUAUUGCACAAUGGGCGAAAGCCUGAUGCAGCGACGCCGCGUGGGGGAUGAAGGCUUUCGGGUUGUAAACCUCUUUCGCUAUCGAACAAGGCCCGCUUAGGGUGGGUGGAGGGUAGGUGGAGAAGAAGCGCCGGCUAACUACGUGCCAGCAGCCGCGGUAAUACGUAGGGCGCGAGCGUUGUCCGGAAUUAUUGGGCGUAAAGGGCUUGUAGGCGGCUUGUUGCGCCUGCUGUGAAAACGCGGGGCUUAACUUCGCGCGUGCAGUGGGUACGGGCAGGCGUGAGUGUGGUAGGGGUGACUGGAAUUCCAGGUGUAGCGGUGGAAUGCGCAGAUAUCUGGAGGAACACCGAUGGCGAAGGCAGGUCACUGGGCCAUUACUGACGCUGAGGAGCGAAAGCAUGGGUAGCGAACAGG
rnacentral:rRNA from 1 species